GAUUGUGUGGUGUAGGGGUUUGAGCAUUGGACUAUGACUCUGGAGACCAGGGUUCGAAUCUCUGCUCAGACA